CUACGUUGAAGUGUUUGCAAGAUUCCUGCAUGAUGAACAGGCAAUGGAGCUGUUGUAAGCAAUGAGUGCUGAAGAAACAUUAACAUGACAUGCUCUACUGCUUGGGUGGAAGACGUUAAACCACGUUGAAUUAGGUCUAUUCAGAAUCUCCAGCUUCAAUCCACACAUAAAUUGCUUGAGGAGGUAUAUAACCAAAGUGACCAAUACAUUUCCAAGCAAGAUAGGGAUACCUGGAAGAUACUUCAUGAUGUUAAAGCGUCAUAAAAGUGGAAUCUGUUGUUGUAAUUCGAUAUCAGUGAAGGCCACCAGUACACUCAGUGUGACAUUAUCCUUGUAUUACCCUAUGGAAGAUUGCAGGAUUAAGCCAUUUUGCUUGACCUUUGAACAAUGAUGGUUUCUGCUUUGUACAGUGGAAGAAACAGAGAUGACAAGGCAUGCUAAAAUUUCAGAAUGUCCAAAAAGUCUGUGCGUCCUUGCCAGGGGCUUUACAGAAAUUCCGCAAAUGUAGACGAGCAAAGGACCUCUUGUUAACAGACUGUGUGUCAUCGAAGUGGUGGUUACUGAGACUGGUCAUCAAUGAGACUACUCUUUGAUUCAACCACAUUCUCGGAAGUUGAGCGUGUCAGGAUAUUUAUUUCAUGUUAUAGGAAUGAUCUUGGUCUCUUUGUUAGAGUUAUUUCCACAGGGACUGAACUCUAUGUGAGAAAACCAAACAAUGAAACAAAGCAAAUAGAAAAGGAGAUCAAUCUGUCUGUAACAUGCACAA